GGAGUAAAAGUUGUAACAAGGUUUCCGUAGGUGAACCUGCGGAAGGAUCAUUAUUGUAUAACCGAGGUGCGAGGGCUGUCGCUGACCCGAAAGGUCGUGCACGCCCGAGUGCCCUCACACACAUCCAUCUCACCCCUAUGUGCACCACCGCGUGGGUCCCCCUUUGGCUUGUUCGGAGGGGGGCUUACGUUUUCACACAAACUUUGUAUGCAGUGUAGAAUGUAUUUUUUGUUUUUGCGAUCACGCAAUCAAUACAACUUUCAACAACGGAUCUCUUGGCUCUC
rnacentral:misc_RNA from 1 species